AAAUGUAAAAUCUAUUUUAAAAUAUUAACAAGCUGCUAUAAUAGUAUCUCAGUGAUGCUAAACUAACACUGGAGAUUGUUGCAGUGACUGAUCAGAAAACGCAGUGAUCACUAACGCUGGUGUGUCUGAACUGUUCUGGUGUGUGUGUGUGUGUGUGUGUGUGUGUGUGUGUGUUUCAGGCUGAAGGCAGCACUCAGAGCCCCAGACAGCGAUGCAAACCCGGCGCCGUCAUCGAGAGCCUCGUCAACCACGCGCCGGGAGUUUUCUCAGGAACCUUCUCAGGUACUUUACACCCUAACUGUCAGGACAGCAGCGUGCGUCCUCGCCGGGACGUCAGCACCAUCCUGCAGAUCCUCAACGACCUCUUGAGCGCCACGCGGCAUUGCCAGGGAUCUCCUCCGACGCUGACGCACCUCCACUGCCCUCCAGCCUCGCCCUGCUCACCUCCACCCUCACCUACCUCAGACCAGUGGCAGCCGCACGCACACCUGCGCAGACCCUCCGGAGAGCGUCUGCGGCAGACGGAGAAUAAGGCCAUGCGCUGUAAGGUGGAGCAGCUGCGGCUCUUACUGCAGCAGCGGCGUCUGCGACGGAAGGCCCGGAGAGACUCUCGCGGCCCGUAUCACUGGAUAACCCAACACAAGAACCUGGACCUGGACUACGAGGAGCCGGUCUGGAAGCCCGACGUGCCGUCAGACAUGAGCGCAGAGCUUGUCCUGGCUUGAGCUGCAGCUGGAGGACGAGUCUGGACACACACAUGGGCAUUAACGGCCGACUGGGGAACACUCGGGAGACGCUUUAUAGCGUUCACGGUCUGUUUGCAGUGGUUCUCCGCUCACUUCAUGGAUGUUACGAAACGCAGGAUGUAGCAUCAUUUCAUGUCAGGCGCUUGCAGGAUGUUUUGCACAGUUCAGUUCUCGCUCUCGUGAGCAUUAAAAUAUGUUUGACGCGUGUUUUAGAGGACAGACGUCUGUCUGAGAUUACAUUCAGACAGCUGGUUUAUGAAUCCUGGAUUUGGGCGAAUCUCCUGAAAACAGCUUCUAUUUCAC